GGUGUGACUGGAUCUAAUAUUCAAACGAUGCACCUUGCACCUUGUCUGGUAUUAACUGGAUGCUGCUGCUGCUGCUAAGUCACUUCAGUCGUGUCCAACUCUGUGCGACCCCAUAGACGGCAGCCCACCAGGCUCCCCCGUCCCUGGGAUUCUCCAGGCAAGAACACUGGACUAAACCUCCUGACUCAACAAGAUUAUGUCAAACUCAAGCUCAAAAAGUUGCCACCUCAUCAGCUCCUCCCUCCUUGUCAGCUGGGGAAGUUCCAAGGAUUUUAAGUUUCUUUCACCAUGGAGUAGAACUAAAUGAUGAAUCACCUACCCUUCUACUACAGGCAAUGACAAGCCUGAAUAUAACUUGUUUGCUGAGUUUUUCUUAUUUUCCAGGGUUUUGGUUGAAUCUAUAGGAAUAUCUUUAAAGAACUCUGUCCCAUCCAAUAGGAAUGAGAUCCUGAUGCUGGGAAAGACUGAGGGCAGGGAAGAAGAGUGCGACAGAGGAUGAGAUGGCUGGAUGGCAUCAUCGACUCAAUGGGCAUGUGUUUGAGCAAACUCUGGGAGAUGGUGAAGGACAGGGAAGCCUAGCAUACUGC
ensembl:lncRNA